rnacentral:rRNA from 1 species
ACGGAAGGCAGCAGUGGGGAAUAUUGCGCAAUGGGGGCAACCCUGACGCAGCGACGCCGCGUGAAGGAUGAAGGUUUUCGGAUCGUAAACUUAUGUCUUCAGGGACGAGAAUGGACGGUACCUGAGGAGGAAGCCACGGCUAACUACGUGCCAGCAGCCGCGGUAAUACGUAGGUGGCGAGCGUUGUCCGGAUUUACUGGGUGUAAAGGGCGUGUAGGCGGGUAGGCAAGUUGGAUGUGAAAUAUCACGGCUCAACCGUGGGGCUGCAUUCAAAACUGCCAAUCUUGAGUGCCGGAGAGGAAAGCGGAAUUCCUAGUGUAGCGGUGAAAUGCGUAGAUAUUAGGAGGAACACCGGUGGCGAAGGCGGCUUUCUGGACGGUAACUGACGCUGAGGCGCGAAAGCGUGGGGAGCAAACAGGAUUAGAUACCCUGGUA